CCUACGGGAGGCUGCAGUGGGGAAUAUUGGGCAAUGGGCGCAAGCCUGACCCAGCAACGCCGCGUGAAGGAAGAAGGCUUUCGGGUUGUAAACUUCUUUUUACAGGGUAGUGCAGAAGACGGUACCUGUUGAAUAAGCCACGGCUAACGACGUGCCAGCAGCUGCGGUAAUACGUGGGUGGCAAGCGUUGUCCGGAUUUACUGGGUGAAAAGGGCGUGUAGCCGGGCUGACAAGUCAGAUGUGAAAUCCGGGGGCUCAACCACAGAACUGCAUUUGAAACUGUUGGUCUUGAGUAUCGGAGAGGCAGGCGGAAUUCGUAGUGUAGCGGUGAAAUGCGUAGAUAUUAGGAGGAACACCAGUGGCGAAGGCGGCCUGCUGGACGACAACUGACGGUGAGGCGCGAAAGCGUGGGGAGCAAACAGGAUUAGAUACCCGUGUAGUC
rnacentral:rRNA from 1 species